rnacentral:rRNA from 1 species
AGUGAACGCUGGCGGUAGGCCUAACACAUGCAAGUCGAACGGCAGCACAGUAGGAGCUUGCUCUUACGGGUGGCGAGUGGCGGACGGGUGAGGAAUACAUCGGAAUCUACUUUUUCGUGGGGGAUAACGUAGGGAAACUUACGCUAAUACCGCAUACGAUCUACGGGUGAAAGCAGGGGAUCUUCGGACCUUGCGCGAUUGAAUGAGCCGAUGUCGGAUUAGCUAGUUGGCGGGGUAAAGGCCCACCAAGGCGACGAUCCGUAGCUGGUCUGAGAGGAUGAUCAGCCACACUGGAACUGAGACACGGUCCAGACUCCUACGGGAGGCAGCAGUGGGGAAUAUUGGACAAUGGGCGCAAGCCUGAUCCAGCCAUACCGCGUGGGUGAAGAAGGCCUUCGGGUUGUAAAGCCCUUUUGUUGGGAAAGAAAAGCAGCAGGUUAAUACCCCGCUGUUCUGACGGUACCCAAAGAAUAAGCACCGGCUAACUUCGUG